rnacentral:rRNA from 1 species
AUUGAACGCUGGCGGCAUGCCUUACACAUGCAAGUCGAACGGCAGCACGGGAGCAAUCCUGGUGGCGAGUGGCGAACGGGUGAGUAAAGUAUCGGAACGUGCCCAGUCGUGGGGGAUAACGUAGCGAAAGUUACGCUAAUACCGCAUACGAUCUAUGGAUGAAAGCGGGGGAUCGCAAGACCUCGCGCGAUUGGAGCGGCCGAUAUCAGAUUAGGUAGUUGGCGGGGUAAAGGCUCACCAAGCCGACGAUCUGUAGCUGGUCUGAGAGGACGACCAGCCCCCCUGGGACUUGGUCACGGCCCAGGCUCCUACGGGGGGCAGCAGCGGGGAAUUUUAGACAAUGGGCGCAAGCCUGAUCCAGCCAUGCCGCGUACAGGAUGAAGGCCUUCGGGUUGUAACCUGCUUUUGUACGGAACGAAAAGGUUUGACUUAAUACGUUGGACUCAUGACGGUACCGUAAGAAUAAGCACCGGCUAACUACGUGCCAGCCGCCGCCGUAACAC